rnacentral:rRNA from 1 species
UACGUAGGAGGCAAGCGUUGUCCGGAUUUACUGGGCGUAAAGCGCGCGCAGGCGGCAGUGCAAGUAAGGUGUGAAAUCUCCCUGCUCAACGGGGAGGGUGCAUUUUAGACUGCACAGCUAGAGGUCGGUAGAGGGGGGUGGAAUUGCUGGUGUAGCGGUGAAAUGCGUAGAGAUCAGCAGGAACACCCGUGGCGAAGGCGGCCCCCUGGGCCGUACCUGACGCUGAGGCACGAAAGCCAGGGGAGCGAACGGG